GCUUGGCACACUCCGGAAGCUUAAGAAACCCUCCCUGUGGAGGGAACAUUUACAAGGUUUCUAUGGAAACAUUAAAUCCGCUCUAAAUGUCUGUGGCUAUCCUAAUGACUGGGAAAGAGGCAUCCAAGACGAGCCCAGGACACACCAGCAAAGAAGAAAAAUGACCUCUCAGAAGCCCCAAAACAGUGAGUCACAUUCUGCUGGUAGGAGUGGGGGUUUGCCAUCCCAGAAGCCAGUAGCGACCGUAUUUAUAACCCGUGAUAGUUGCUCUCCAUCAGCUUGACUGGGUUUUGAAUCAUCCAGAAGGCAUGCCACUAGGCUGUGAGAUUGUUUCCAGACAGGAUUAAAUAAGGGGAGAAGACUCGGCCUGAUUGUGGGUGGCAUCAGCCCAAGGACUGGGGUUCCAGACAGAAUAAAAAGGGAUAAAGGAAAGAGACAGCUGAUGGUUUCACUGCAGACACAUGACCCCAGCACCUCGUGCUCCCCCUGCCCAGGUUGGAUGCCUCCUUUCCUAAAUCAUAAGCCAAAAAUCCCUUCUUCCCUACCAUUGCUUGGGACACAUGUUUCCCCCACAGCGAUUACAGAAGCAAGUAAGCUGUAAACACCGGCCUCACCACCGGCUCCUCGACCGACCGACGCUCUAUAUAAGUCAGGACUCUACAGCGUGAACUUGGGAUGAGGACAAGACUCAGGCACUCAGACACUCACACAGACGCACACUAGCUCAUCCGCUGGGACAGCGGGUGUGCGAGAGCUCGCUGCCUGGCUUGACUGCAUCAUUGGUGUGCACGAGUAUCUCUCCCCCUCUCGUUUUAAAUUGAAUUUCCAUUUGGCAAAAUAUUGUGAGCUCUCUCUCUCUCUCUAACCGUGGAUUCUCUCUUUUUCUAUUUUAUUUUAAGUAAUUGAUUAAUUUUAAA